GUUGGCUUAGAAGCAGCCACCAUUUAAAGAGUGCGUAAUAGCUCACUGGUCGAGUGACAUCGCGCCGAAAAUGUACCGGGGCUAAACAUACAACCGAAGCUGCGGAUAUAACUAAUGUUAUAUGGUAGGAGAGCGUUCUAACAUCAUAGAAGCCGAACUGGAAGGUGAGGUGGAGAGGUUAGAAGUGAGAAUGCCGGUGUGAGUAGCGAAAGAUAGGUGAGAAUCCUAUCCACCGAAAGACUAAGGUUUCCAGAGGAAGGCUCGUCCGCUCUGGGUAAGUCGGGACCUAAGGUGAAGCCGAUAGGUGAAGCCGAUGGACAACAGGUAGAAAUUCCUGUACCACCGAAUAUCGAUUGAGAGAAGUGGGGACAGAGGAGGCUAAUUGAUCGCCCUGAUGGAAUAGGGCGUCUAAGCACAAAGACUGACAAGUAGGCAAAUCCGCUUGUUGUAAAGGUUGAAGUGUGAUGGGGAGCGAAACAUAGUAGCGAAGUCAAUGAAGCCAAACUCUCAAGAAAAGCCGCUAUCGAGAUAAGAGGUGCCCGUACCGCAAACCGACACAGGUAGUUGGGAAGAGAAUUCUAAGGUGAGCGAGAGAACCAUCGUUAAGGAACUCGGCAAAAUGACCCCGUAACUUCGGGAGAAGGGGUGCCUACGAGAGUAGGCCGCAGUGAAUAGGCCCAAGCGACUGUUUAUCAAAAACACAGGUCUCUGCAAAACCGAAAGGUGAAGUAUAGGGGCUGACGCCUGCCCGGUGCUGGAAGGUUAAGAGGAGUGCUUAGCGCAAGCGAAGGUAUGAAUUGAAGCCCCAGUAAACGGCGGCCGUAACUAUAACGGUCCUAAGGUAGCGAAAUUCCUUGUCGGGUAAGUUCCGACCCGCACGAAAGGCGUAACGAUUUGGGCACUGUCUCAACGAUGGACUCGGUGAAAUCAUAGUACCUGUGAAGAUGCAGGUUACCCGCGACAGGACGGAAAGACCCCAUGGAGCUUUACUGUAGCUUGAUAUUGAAUUUUGAUGCAGUAUGUACAGGAUAGGUAGGAGCCUAAGAAUCAUGCACGCCAGUGUAUGAGGAGGCGUUGUUGGGAUACUACCCUUGCUGUAUUGAAAUUCUAACCCUCGGCAUAGAAAACCGGGAGACAGUGUCAGGUGGGCAGUUUGACUGGGGCGGUCGCCUCCUAAAGAGUAACGGAGGCGUUCAAAGGUUCCCUCAGAAUGGUUGGAAAUCAUUUGCAGAGUGUAAAGGCACAAGGGAGCUUGACUGUGAGACCUACAAGUCGAGCAGGUGCGAAAGCAGGACUUAGUGAUCCGGUGGUUCCGCAUGGAAGGGCCAUCGCUCAACGGAUAAAAGCUACCCUGGGGAUAACAGGCUUAUCUCCCCCAAGAGUCCACAUCGACGGGGAGGUUUGGCACCUCGAUGUCGGCUCAUCGCAUCCUGGGGCUGAAGUCGGUCCCAAGGGUUGGGCUGUUCGCCCAUUAAAGCGGUACGCGAGCUGGGUUCAGA
rnacentral:rRNA from 1 species